GACGAACGCUGGCGGCGUGCUUAACACAUGCAAGUCGAACGGAAAGGCCCUGCUUUUGUGGGGUGCUCGAGUGGCGAACGGGUGAGUAACACGUGAGUAACCUGCCCUUGACUUUGGGAUAACUUCAGGAAACUGGGGCUAAUACCGGAUAGGGGCUCCUGCUGCAUGGUGGGGGUUGGAAAGUUUCGGCGGUUGGGGAUGGACUCGCGGCUUAUCAGCUUGUUGGUGGGGUAGUGGCUUACCAAGGCUUUGACGGGUAGCCGGCCUGAGAGGGUGACCGGCCACAUUGGGACUGCGAUACGGCCCAGACUCCUACGGGAGGCAGCAGUGGGGAAUAUUGCACAAUGGGAGGAAGCCUGAUGCAGCACCGCCGCGUGCGGGAUGACGGCCUUCGGGUUGUAAACCGCUUUCGCCUGUGACGAAGCGUGAGUGACGGUAAUGGGUAAAGAAGCACCGGCUAACUACGUG
rnacentral:rRNA from 1 species